ACGGUACCUAACCAGAAAGCCACGGCUAACUACGUGCCAGCAGCCGCGGUAAUACGUAGGUGGCAAGCGUUGUCCGGAAUUAUUGGGCGUAAAGGGCUCGCAGGCGGUUUCUUAAGUCUGAUGUGAAAGCCCCCGGCUCAACCGGGGAGGGUCAUUGGAAACUGGGGAACUUGAGUGCAGAAGAGGAGAGUGGAAUUCCACGUGUAGCGGUGAAAUGCGUAGAGAUGUGGAGGAACACCAGUGGCGAAGGCGACUCUCUGGUCUGUAACUGACGCUGAGGAGCGAAAGCGUGGGGAGCGAACAGGAUUAGAUACCCUGGUAGUCCACGCCGUAAACGAUGAGUGCUAAGUGUUAGGGGGUUUCCGCCCCUUAGUGCUGCAGCUAACGCAUUAAGCACUCCGCCUGGGGAGUACGGUCGCAAGACUGAAACUCAAAGGAAUUGACGGGGGCCCGCACAAGCGGUGGAGCAUGUGGUUUAAUUCGAAGCAACGCGAAGAACCUUACCAGGUCUUGACAUCCUCUGACAAUCCUAGAGAUAGGACGUCCCCUUCGG
rnacentral:rRNA from 1 species